GAUCCUGGCUCAGGAUGAACGCUAGCUACAGGCUUAACACAUGCAAGUCGAGGGGCAGCGGGAUUGAAGCUUGCUUCAAUUGCCGGCGACCGGCGCACGGGUGAGUAACGCGUAUCCAACCUUCCGUACACUCAGGGAUAGCCGUUUCGAAAGAAAGUAUUAAUACCUGAUGGUAUCUUAAGCACACAUGUAAUUAAGAUUAAAGNUUUAUCGGUGUACGAUGGGGAUGCGUUCCAUUAGGUAGUAGGG
rnacentral:rRNA from 1 species